ACCAAAACCUGAUUAAUACGAAAUAGCUUUUGUUUUAUUCACAUUAGAAAAGUUAUCUGUAAUUUGUUAAUUUUUACAUGAAUACUUGUACUGUUGCUUUAAGAAAGCGCUCUGUAACGAUGUCAGCGGUGCUUCAUGCUCAGUUGGCGCUAGGCUGCCUAAGAGGAGGUAGGAAACUUUUACUGCUUGUAGUUUUAUAAAAAUGUUCUAUGAAAACAUGUAAAUGUAAUUACAUGCAGUUGUUAAACGUUGCCUUUACUGAAAAACACUCAGAUGACAUAUUUGUUUCUCAAUAUGUGUCUGUAUUUAUUGGUCAGAGCAAGUAUUUUCCUGCUACAGCUACGGGGUUUCCCCAUGUGCUCUUCUCAAACAGGGGAUGCUGACCUGUGUAUGUGUUGAAGCUGCAUGUUACUGAGCGUUUUGUUUCUGUCUGUGCAGGUAUGUACAUCUAGUUCUUAGCAUCAUUGUUUAAGCUGGUUGCAUUAAUAAUAUAUGUUGGAUUUAAUUAAUUAUUAUAACAGAUUUAUUGUUUUCUGUAAGAAUUGUUACUUUUUUCCAUGUUUAAUGUUUUAUUAUUUUUCUUGGUAGUAAAGAUUAUUUUUGAUUGAAUUGUUUUGCAUUGCUCUGCUGCAGUUGGCGCUAGGCUGCCUAAGAGGAGGGGAUGCUGACCUGUGUAUGUGUUGAAGCUGCAUGUUACUGAGCGUUUUGUUUCUGUCUGUGCAGAAUCCGGCUGGAUAACUGUAUUAAAGAGCAACUGGCUAUACCUAUGGUCUGGGUCCCUCCUUCAUCAGAACACAACGCAGAGCAUAAGCAAGUUAAUCGGUGUCAUAAUUGAGGAGUGUUAGGACACAGGCAGAUGAGACCGGUUACAAUGGUGCCGUGACUUUUUUUUUGGAUCUGUUGAGGAACGACGUCAUCUCGUCCGCCGUGGGAAGCUACAAGGGAUGCUGACCUGUGUAUGUGUUGAAGCUGCAUGUUACUGAGCGUUUUGUUUCUGUCUGUGCAGAAUCCGGCUGGAUAACUGUAUUAAAGAGCAACUGGCUAUA